ACGCAGUCCAUCACCACGACUCGCUGAGCCGCCUGUCGGUGAAGUUUCCCUUUCGGAUCCACGGCUUGGCCCAGGGUAGGGAAGUCCCGAAAACCCAAGCUGCGACGACUCACCGACGCUUCCUCGAAACCGACACGCAAUCAAACAGGAUCCAAGACAUUCCCGGUGAGGUCCCGGAAGCGUGUCCAGUUGUCCUGGGAAUGCGCCGUGUGGAUACUGGAGACCGUGUUAUUUAUUUUAUUACUCCUGGUUGUCGAGUCGACCCACCAGAGUCGAUUCAUGAAGUUCGUUUCGAAAUUCCACGCAAACGCUGAAGAGAGGUUGUUUGUAUUCAAGGCGAGUCACCUGACAGGACGUGUUUUGUGAACAAACAGCGACGCAUGGGAAGGACGGAUCUGGGAGCGCAACGUGCGGUCAGUCCGUUCUACCUUGGACAGUCAGGCUCGCUCACCGCGCGGCGGAUAGUGUGCGGAGCGAUACUGCGCUUCCUACCACUGCUGGAAACCACGAAUUCAAGGGGCCCACCUUUGGCUGAGCAGACAUGACAUGGACUGCUCGCAGUGUCGGUGGAUUUGCAUCCCUUCCAGGCCUACAUUUGUUCUUUCUCAAGGGCAGGCAUAAUGGAGCCACAAUCGGUGAAAGUGUCAUUCCUGCAUGUGAUUCUCUCAUCUCCGCAAUACUUGCUAAAUGGAGAGGAUUGUAAGAAUAAAGUGGGUAGAGAAGAGAAAGAGAGAGGAGGAGGAGGAGGAGUAGAAGAAUUGGAGCGAAGAGGACAAAGACAAGAUGAGUGUGGCGGAUUUGGGGGUUGGGGAUGUGUACAAGGUGAAAGAAGACUGAAUGAUUCGUAUGAAGUAUGUGGAGCAAGAAGAGAGCAAAGGCAUGAAACUUCUCCAUCAUGCCACAUCCUAAGCCUGCAUCAAGAAAUCUCAAUUAAUCUGCUUGAUCCCUCCUCGGCCGAUGGACUGCGUCUGAAAGAAUGUCCCGACACGGCACAGUGGAAGGGAGGAAAGAGCUCGGGUGAAUCUUAUUGGCAUUUGUCAAGCCCAGGGAGGACGUUGAAUGGAUCUGAUGAGAGAAAUGGGGAAGAUGACUCCACAGAUAAAGCCUGUUGGAUUCAACGAGGAUCAUGUGUGGAACACAGCCAGGCUUAUGGUAUAACAGAUCCUGUUGGGUUGAUGGAAACACCCAGAGCUUCAAAUCCUCAUUCAUUCCUGCGUCGAUAUCCUUUCAGCCGCUGCUAUGAUGUGGAGAUUUUAAACAAUUUUCACAGAGCACAUUCAACUGGGGAAGUGGAAACGAUGACGGGGAGUUUACAGUGUUCACGCAGUGAAGAAGCAGAACAGUUUGGCACCCCGUGUGCCUCAACUUACCAUGGGACGCACUAUUUUGGCUCACGCAGAAGGUCCUUAAACUGCAGACAACUUCCGUUUUGCAAAGGGGACACACCUACGUCUCCUGUUUUGCCAUCUAAUCCUCGAUGGAAAGUUCAGGUCAGCUGCGUGAGUCCUGUAUCUCCGGAACAGCACGUGAGCAGAAAACCCGGUGUGCAGGCCACGGUGGUGACCGCAAUGCCACGAGCCAACUCGGUUAACAUGGAGGUCAUACGGUUGCAGGCCAAACCUGGAAAACAAGGUGGUUCUGAAGGAGCGGAUGGUGAUGCAUCAACGAAGGAGGAGUUCUUCAUCUGCCUAGGACAGGUCACACCAGCUGGCUCCCAGAAUCCCAUAAAACCUACCAGUAGCUGUUUCUUCAGUCCAUCCUCACUUUCCCCAGCUUGCGACUUUGCAUGCCAGAAGUACCAGAUUUCUGUGGGUCCGUCACCUUAUAGACUUUGGCCAUUGUCAGCAGCUGUUAUUGAGCAGGUUGACCACGACCACCAUCAAUACACCACCACAACAACUACUAAAGGAUACAUCAGAGUUGGAGAUGGGACACCAGUGCUAACCGGUCGAGCUGCUUCGCCUCGAGCCUUGGAGAACAUACUGUACAGCACAGACGACGAGAAGACCGAGGCCAGGCCGAUGAGAAACGGUGAAGCCUCAUUGCCUGCCUGGCCUUUUCCGCAGCAGCCAAUGCUAUCAGAUGAAUGGAGGUCACUGGAGAUCCAGACCACGAUAGAAGAUAGCAAUGGAAGAAGGUCAGUGGCAUUAGGAUGUGAGGACAACUAUGUGACUAUUCAGACAAUGCCAGCACAAACAGAUCAGACAUGGAUUGGACAAAAAUUGGGAGCUUGCACUGUAGCAGAGACAGAGAGCAAACCUGGGCUGAGCACCGAGUGUUUCAAGGUAACUGCUGUGGAAGGAGAUUUGUCUGUGCCAAGUCCAAAAUCAUCCCAAAGCGAUGGGAAGCUCACAUCAAUUUGGGAAGUGCAAAGUUCAAGUGCUGCAACACAAGACUCCUUUGUGCCUGUCACAUCUUCUAGCCCCACCAUCAAGGACAUUCUCCCUUGGGAAAUUUCAGCCAUGACCUGUCUCAAAGAAAGCACAUCCCUUGCAGCUCAAUUUUCAACAGGUUCACAAUCUGAGCAGUGCUGUGGUGUGGCAGAUGAGACAAAAUAUGGAGAGAUGUUGGAGCCGGGAAAGAUUAGCAUUGAAAGUCCGAAUAAGGGAAUAGCGGCCGAAGGAGGUUUGGCAAGGCUGAUGGUACGUGAAAUCCAGCGCAGCCUUCAGCCCCCCUUGUUCUUGCAGCCAGAAGAGCUUCAAGAUUCAUUCUCCAAGCAGGCGGAGUCCAUCUUAGAGUCACACCGUAGUGCUGGAAUGGCUUGUUCUAGCCUUGAUUCCUUGGACAUUCUCAAUGCUGCAGCAGAUGAUGAACAAAUUGAUCAUGAUCAUAAUCGAGAUGAUCGCAAUAAUGAUGAUGACUAUGACGUGUGCACACAAUCCUCGGGCUCGAAUGACGAUGCUGUUGUCAUGACUGAUGGCGGAGCCUUGAGUUGCAUUGUUGGAGAUCCGGGAUUCAAACAAGGCUCGGAAGGACAAUCUGUCGUAUGGAGGUUGUCCUCUGCGUUUCAGGAGACACAAAAGGAAAGCACAUUCAAUUCGGAAGCUUUGACAAAGUCUACACAUUUAUUACAAGACCCUGCUUUGUCAAAGAACCAGUCAUUCGGUACUGUUAACCAAAUCACUGAACAUUCCUCUCCAAGGUUUCAUCAACCAUCAGAUGGGCAACAUGCUUGUGGGCCAGACAAGAUGGCGAUUGCGAAAGAUGAAGAAAGCAGCAUUGUGGGGG
ensembl:lincRNA